rnacentral:misc_RNA from 1 species
ACUCUCUGCUUUUUCAAUUGGUAAUGAUUUAUCAACUUUUUUCUUGAUUUGCUUGCCAUCAAUUUUAGGUUUUAGGGUUUUAAUUUCUGAAUGUGUAUUUUGUAAUUUCAGUGCGUUUUUUGAAGGGUUUUAUGAAGGGGUUUCUAUAGGGAUAGAUUUAUGAAGUGGGACUUGGUAAAAGUUUCAAUCUAAUCGAUGGAAAAUUUAGCUG